rnacentral:rRNA from 1 species
UCCUACGGGAGGCAACAGUAGGGAAUAUUGCUAAAUGGGGGAAACCCUGAAGCAGCAACGCCGCGUGGAGGAUGAAGGUUUUCGGAUUGUAAACUCCUUUUGUUAGAGAAGAUAAUGACGGUAUCUAACGAAUAAGCACCGGCUAACUCCGUGCCAGCAGCCGCGGUAAUACGGAGGGUGCAAGCGUUACUCGGAAUCACUGGGCGUAAAGAGCGCGUAGGCGGGAUAGCAAGUCAGAUGUGAAAUCCUAUGGCUUAACCAUAGAACUGCAUUUGAAACUGUUAUUCUAGAGAAUGGGAGAGGUG